rnacentral:hammerhead_ribozyme from 1 species
GUCUAAAUGACGAGUCCCAAAUAGGACGAAACACGAUUCUUGGAU